GGAUCUUUAGCUCAGUUGGCAGAGCAGCAGACUCUUAAUCUGUGGGUCGUAGGUUCGAGCCCUACAAGAUCCA
rnacentral:tRNA from 1 species